AACGAACGCUGGCGGCAUGCCUAACACAUGCAAGUCGAACGAGACCUUCGGGUCUAGUGGCGCACGGGUGCGUAACGCGUGGGAACCUGCCCUUAGGUUCGGAAUAACUCCCCGAAAGGGGUGCUAAUACCGGAUAAUGUCUUCGGACCAAAGAUUUAUCGCCUUUGGAUGGGCCCGCGUUGGAUUAGCUAUUUGGUAGGGUAAAAGCCUACCAAGGCGACGAUCCAUAGCUGGUCUGAGAGGAUGAUCAGCCACACUGGGACUGAGACACGGCCCAGACUCCUACGGGAGGCAGCAGUGGGGAAUAUAGGACAAUGGGCGAAAGCCUGAUCCAGCAAUGCCGCGUGAGUGAUGAAGGCCUUAGGGUUGUAAAGCUCUUUUACCCGGGAUGAUAAUGACAGUACCGGGAGAAUAAGCGCCGGCUAACUCCGUG
rnacentral:rRNA from 1 species